rnacentral:rRNA from 1 species
AUUCCAGCUCCAAUAGCGUAUAUUAAAGUUGCCGCAGUUAAAAAGCUCGUAGUUGCAUUUCCGAGGCAAGGGAUUAGUCCGACCUUUGGUGGGUAUUUAAUCCUCUUGCCUCGUCCUUGAGUGGUGCUUCUUGGUAUUAAGUUAUCGAGGAGAUAGCCGCUCGUCGUUUACUGUGAGAAAAUUAGAGUGUUCAAAGCAGGCUUAUGCCGUUGAAUAUAUUAGCAUGGAAUAAUAAGAUAGGACCUCGGUACUAUUUUGUUGGUUUGAGAACCAAGGUAAUGAUGAAUAGGGACAGUUGGGGGUAUCCGUAUUCAGUUGUCAGAGGUGAAAUUCUUAGAUUUACGGAAGACGAACUACUGCGAAAGCAUUUACCAAGGAUGUUUUCAUUG